CGGGAUGUAGCGCGACCUGGUAGCGUACUAGCAUGGGGUGCUAGGGGUCGCUGGUUCGAAUCCAGUCAUCCCGA
rnacentral:tRNA from 1 species